rnacentral:rRNA from 1 species
CGGACGGGUGAGUAAUGUAUAGGAACUUGCCUAGUAGUGGGGGACAACGUGUGGAAACGCACGCUAAUACCGCAUACGCUCUACGGAGGAAAGCGGGGGAUCUUCGGACCUCGUGCUACUAGAUGGGCCUAUAUUGGAUUAGCUAGUUGGUAGGGUAAAGGCUUACCAAGGCGACGAUCCAUAGCUGGUUUGAGAGAAUGAUCAGCCACACUGGGACUGAGACACGGCCCAG